rnacentral:rRNA from 1 species
UACGUAGGGGGCAAGCGUUGUCCGGAUUUAUUGGGCGUAAAGAGCUCGUAGGCGGCUCAGUAAGUCGGGUGUGAAAGCCCCGAGCUCAACUCGGGGAGGCCACCCGAUACUGCUGUGGCUAGAGUCCGGUAGGGGAGCGUGGAAUUCCCGGUGUAGCGGCGAAAUGCGCAGAUAUCGGGAGGAACACCAGCGGCGAAGGCGGCGCUCUGGGCCGGAACUGACGCUGAGGAGCGAAAGCGUGGGGAGCGAACAGG